rnacentral:rRNA from 1 species
GACAGAGGGUGCAAACGUUGUUCGGAAUUACUGGGCGUAAAGCGUGUGUAGGUGGCUGCGAAAGUCGGAUGUGAAAGCCCUGGGCUCAACUCAGGAAGUGCACCCGAUACUGCGUAGCUCGAGUACCGGAGAGGUUGGUAGAAUUCUCGGUGUAGAGGUGAAAUUCGUAGAUAUCGAGAGGAAUACCUGUGGCGAAGGCGGCCAACUGGACGAGUACUGACACUGAGACACGAAAGCGUGGGGGAGCAAACAGG